AAGAAGAGAAGGAGAGAGCAGCUGUUAAACAAGACUUUGUUGGCGCAAUAGCAACGAAGAGUGACAACUCUCCAGAUUGAAUUUGAAUAUGAGCGCAUCUCGCGGAGCUUACCGAGUUUAAGCUUGAGUUAUCUUGGAGUUGUAGUGAGUUGCUAGGCUGAUCCAUGGUCCACAUCUCCCUCUAACUUUUUAUUUAUCCUGUUGGUCUAAUAUUAAGACAUGAUAUUUCUUACGUCUAGAAAUAUCAUUUUAGUUUGAGAAUGACAUCAUGUUUUAUAAGUUCAUGUACUUAUGACACUAAAUCUGGGAUAGUAUUUUAGCUUAUCACAUUUUAUAUUUGUGAAAGACUUAGUGUACAUGAUAUUUUACUUGUCACAUAUUUAAGUUGAAUUGGUAAACUUAUUGGGUUGACUUACAUA